CAUAGUAACUAGAGGGAUGAAUCACUGGUCUGGUUAACGUCUUAUUCACACAUCUUACUCAUAUCGUAGACCUGAGGGUUGUGUCGAUGAUGAAAGAUAAUAUAUACCAGAGAGAAAGACAGACACGGACAAAUGAGAGCACGUGUCAGACUGAGAACAAGGCUACGUGAGGGAGGAUGCGUACAGUAGUGUAACUUGGGAAAUCCCUGCAGUGCAAGUGGGAAGGAACGCUCGUUGACCAACAUGAUUAGCACACGCACACUCUUGCAUUUCGUCAUCUCUGAUUGGCGUUUAUUUCCGCAUUGUAAAGCAAGAUUAGAUUCUAUAUUUUAGCAAGCUGGUCCUGCUCGAAGUGGUCCAAAAUGCAAAGGGAAGUUAAGUUCAAGAUAUCACCCAGAUAGUUUCACGAAAUUCUUGUUAUCAUAUCAUCAGCUUGUUUAGUUUUUUUUUUGUUGUUUUUUUUUACCUCCCAGAUGUCUAUAUGUAUCAUUCUUACACAUAGUAUCUAGAUAUCUAAUCUGUCUGACCAAGUUCAGGUCAUGCUCAUAAUUUGUUUAAAGUGUACCCAUGCUAAUGCUGCAUUGGAUCUGUUUUAGAAUAAAACAAAAUCAAAGUAUUUAGUAAUUGUAAGAGUGGGCAAAUUUUUGUAAUAUUUUAGCACAACCAUGGGGCCCACUCAGGACCAGAUGUGAAACUAUGGCGCCAUCUCCUGGACAAACCACCAAUCUUCCUGUUUAUGUUAGAUUUUAAAUCAAUACGAAUAAGUCCUGAAAUGUUGUGCAGGGGUACUUUAAAGGCAGUCCCUUGUGCCUUGUCCUUACAAGACUCUUUGCAACCGCUAUUUCUGUUGACUGUCAGCAUAGUUUGGGCAAUUAACUACAUGUAGUAUACAGUAGGUUUUAGGAUGGUGUUCAGGAGGACCUCUGUUUAUUGUCAAAGUGGAACUCUAAUGUUUGUGGUGAUCGUUGCAGUGGAAACACUUUAUUUUAUCCGUGAAAAAUUCUGGAAAGUGUUCAGAUUGGCACAGACGAAGAAGUUGUUGCGAAAGCAGUUGAGGCAGUAAAUGUGGAACCUAUCAUUAUGUUUGUUGUGACCUCGCACUGGGACUCACUACUACGAAGAGGCCCUAUUGUAAUACUAAACAGCUCUGUACAAUGGUGAGGAGGCGAAAGGGCCAUAAAUGCAUCAAGCAGUGCAGGGAUGUGUGGAAAGGCAACAGGACAGUUGGUUAGUGGCAUACUGUAAAUGUUGGACUGGAUACAAUGUCUGGAGCCACUGGGACAGAUGUGGAUGUGUCCCAUGGUUGCACAGGGUGCUGUUAGGUUAGAACAAGCACCUUGUCCAUUGCCUUUAACCUUUGAAGAACCAUUUGCUCUCGGACCAAACAAUGUAUGCUUGGUAACUAUUUUCCUUGAUUAAAGUUCCACAGAUAGUUGAAAUUCAAAAGGCAUCUUCAUUGCAUACCACGCUGGACAGGCAGCAUCCUGGUGUAAAUAUUAUAGCAGGGUGAGGAUUUGAAGACAUUUCAAGGUCCACCGUCUAUUUUUCAUAAUAUUCCCUAUUUUGGCCUGGUCCCUAAACCUUAUUUCAAAAUUACAACAUAAUGACUGGUACUGUGACAUGGUCCAGUAGGAUGAAACAGAAGAGUUGUCCAACUUGAGGGUCAUUUACAGUUUUUCACAAUUAGUAACACACAAUUCUCAAUACUGAGUUCACUUCUUCAAAACAAUUGUGGCCCAAACUGUGGAUCACUUUUCAUUGCUUUUACACAAAAUACAGAAAUGUGACUUAGCAAUUGUAAAAAACUGUAACAGAAUCUUGUUUUAUGCUAAAUAAAUAAAUAAAUAAAAGAUAAUUCAGAGACAAUAGUGUUACAUAUUGUAAUGCUACCUGUUAGAGGGGUUUUUUUUUUGGGUCAUUGUGUUAUGAGUGACAAAGGGUUACUGUUGGCAGACAAAUGUUGUCAGUGGUCGGUUACAAGAGGUGAUUCUGAGAUGUGUGUCAAAAGUUUUGGUUCCAUUUGUGCAGUUUGGACGUGAGAUGUGUUGUGCUGAGCUGCAUGUCAGUAAAGAGAACCGUCUGAACAGUUUUGAAAAAGUGAACUCAGUAUAGUGAAAUGUGAGUUACCAAUUGUAAAAAACUUUACACUACCCAUACAAUUUCUUUUUUGUGCAGCAGGGGGCGAACUUGCCUUUACAGUGUGAGGAUCAAUCGAGGGUCAGUGUUGGUGUCUAUUCACUUUCAGUUAAAUCUGAUAUGUUAAUGAAUGUUUCUACUAUAAGAACAAAUAUUAUAAUAAAUAAACAAUAAAUCAGUGUCUAAUGAAAGUGUUAAGUUUAUCAGUUAACCAAUCAAUAUCAGUUAAUCAAUAACUGCCAUAUUUCUUUCAAAUGUUAAUCAUCUGUCAUGUGUGCUUUGUUUGGGUUAUUAAGAACAACGUUGAGAAAAUCUGUGAAUUACUGCCAUGAAAAAGAAAGUAAUUUAAUGUUUGUCAGGGGAUCUAAAAACUUAAAAGACUUUCAACCUUAACAAAACAGACUCUAAACAGACAAUACACUACAAUAUACAAUGGGGAGUUACCAGGAAAUAAGAGAAGAAAAAGAGCUCAGUCUGCACUGACCAUAAUGAUUUGACUAUUCCAUUCUACCAACUGUUAGCAAAUAAGUUUUCAGUGUAUAGCUUUUUCUAUAUUUAUCUGUUAUGAGAUGAUAUGAGAAAAACAAUAUUUUUAGUGCAUUCUGUGGCUUUGUUUGCCAUUCAUAAAGUCUACCUUAUUUGUCUACCUUAUUUUUCAUUAUUUCGUUCCUCCACACACCACAGAUUAUGUCUUGGAAACGGAAAGCACCUGUGUAGCAGAACAAAGUGUUUAUUGAUAUUGAAACUUCCUUACAUAAACUGUCAGCUGAAAUGAGCCGCUAGCCAAAUGACAAAUCUUUCAUAUACACCUCCUACUUAACAGGAAAUUUAGGUCUUAGCGGAGGUGUGUGGGGGUGUGUGCAGAUGUGAACAUAUGAGAAUUCAGGCUUUCCCUCACACACAACAUUGGAAAAACAAACCAUUUGUCAUUAUAAUUCAAACUUUUAAAAUAAUUUCCACAUGCUCCAGUUAUGUCAUUGUUUUAACAGCCAGAGCAUUAUGCCUAAUUUUCACAUUUACAUUACUCCAUACACAUAUGAUUAUAUCUCGUAUAGUUUUUCUUCACAUUCUCAACCCACUGAAAGUGAUUUAAGACAACCCUAAUGCUGUGAGCUUGAACAGUUUAACACACUGAGCCCAUGGUACCAUUAAAACAACCUCCUGACCCCCUCAGGCAGAGAGCCUGUCUUCUCUGAUAAUAUUUUCAUAGGCUGUGAAUUAUAAGUGUUUAAAGGGGCACUAAUCGCAGAGUUACACUCAUGCCAAGAGCUGCUUAGCAUCAGUAAACCACAAAGUCUGGAUAGAGAGCCUAGAGGGCCAGGUUUUUAGCCAAAGUUAAAACAUUCAUUAUAACAAUUAUUUUUUAUGGCGUAUCUGCCUUUUAAGAAAGUAUACAGUGGAAAAUAAAAGGAAAGAUGGAAAGGAUAAGGGAUGAAAUACAGCAAAGCCAUCUUUAGUCCAUUUUAAACCCUUGACACCACUUAAACAUAGCAUGUGCCUGGGGCUGCAGCAUUUCCAGAAUUUUCCAAACUUUCUGGCUGAGCCCGACAAUGGUGGAGGGCAAUGGUAGCCAAACAAUGAGAGACUGCUUGAAGGUAAAGGUCCUGGCUUGAAUCCUGAGUAAAUCUGCUGGGGAAAAGUGAAUGAUUCUCCCCUCUGAACAGCUAACAUAAAGAUUCUCUUGAAGAAAGUGUUUUACCUCCAGUGUAUGGAAGAUUUUAAAUGCCUAAAUGAAAAUAAAUCAAACACGGAAAUAAAGUGAAGUACAAUACACACUGUUAUUUGUAUUUGCUUUUGUUUUUUAUGUAUGCAUUUACUUUGUCAUAAUUAAAUGACAAUGAUUUAGCCUUUUUUCAGUCUUUAAUAACUGAAUGAAUUGUUUUUCAUUGUGACGUGAAUUUUCCACGCCUCAUUAAAAUCACAACACAGAAAAUAAAGUGGUGUAUUGCAUUUCAGUGUUGUCCAGCAGAGAGCAGCAUAGACCUGCCAAUACUACAUGCAAAGCACUGUCUUUUUGAAGAGGAAGACACAUCAUCGACUCCAAAAUGAAAGACAAUCAAUGGCUCAGUCACAGCUUUGGGGGCUGGGUCAUGGACAGACCUUAUAGCGGACAUGAGCUGAUGCCUCGCCUUUCACAUUAAAACAUUAAAAUCUCUCAUUCCUUAUGAAGAUUUUAAAACAUAUUCAAGCAUUUUAAAGCACUAUAAUUCUUUUAAUUUAAUAGUGGAACUAAUGUCUAUUUUGUUCAGUCUGUGAAAUUCUCUGUGUUUGUCUAUAUUUAUACUGCAUAUUCUUGUGCACAAGUCUCUGGAAAAAGAUGUCUUGAUCUCAACAAAAUGUAAAGGCAAAAAAAUGUGUUUUAGUUGUCCAUGUUUUUACUGUAAUUAUUUUAAUUAAAUGAGUUUUGUGAUUGGUUAGGCUGUAUUUGUGUAUAUAGUACAUAUAUAGUAACAACAUGCAUACAAUUCUUUUGUCAUAUGUGAAAAAGAAAACAGCAGUGGCAGUAACAGUAGUAUUCAACUUCAGCAAUUAAACUGUUAAUGUUCACUCCCCUUUUUAAAAACUGCCUUUAAUGUUUGAUUUUAUAUCCUUUAUACCUAAUGCCUGCAUUGUGUAUAGUUUUUUUUUUAAUUGAAUUUGUACAUUAUAUAAUUCUUAUGUUUGUGAAAUGCUUUCCAGUAGUGUGGAGGCACCAUUAUAAUUACACAGUGAGCUGAGAGAAAGAUCAAUCAAUCUGUCCAUCCACCUGCAUUUCUACCUUCCUUCCUACCUACCUGUCUCUCUACUGUAUAUAUCUCUUCCACUUCCUCUCCAGCCUCUCCCAUUCCGCUGUGUUUUCUUUGGCCUGACACUGAGGGACUGGAAGUGUCACCUCAUCACAGCUCACUUUUGUUUCCCUUGGAGGCUGCAGUAGGAUGUCUGUUAAUCUGAUCUGAAAUCCUCAACCUGGAUUUGGCAGCUUCCUACAAACACUGCUGGCUCUGAAACGACUCUAUCAAGUCCUUCGUACAGUGAUGUCUAUCUGAGGGAUAAACUGCCUGUAAUAACUCUACAAUCAGCCUCAGCGGUGUGUGGGACUGUGCCAGUUUUUAACCUUUCCUUACUUUGGCUGGCUUUCGCUGUGGAAGCAAACAACGUAUUGUGCAAUAAACUGCUCUCAAAUUCCACUGAGCUGCCACAGCGAUGUAUUUGACAUUCUGGCAGUCUGAUUAAAAACACUUUAAUUUAUCAGUCAUAUACAGUGGGCAAAGAAUGUUUAUUCUAUAGUAGCUGCAUGACAGUAACUGAUUAGAUGCAGGUGUACAGUAUAAAAAAUCACAGCAGCAAGUCCACUCUCUACUGUCACACAACCGCAAUAUGUAUAUGUUUGAGCCAAAAAUUCUACUGUUCAUUCAAAUGCAUGGAGCUGAAAUAUCUCCACAUUUGCUGCCAAUUUAUUUUACUUUUUUUGAUUUGAUUUUGAAUUUGUUAUGUAAGAAUGUUAUACCAAGAGAUGAGGAUAGUGAUUCAAAUUGAGGUGAGCUGAGAUGACUGAUGUUAGCUGAACUUAAAGGGGUGCUCCACUGAUUUUACACAUCAAAGUCAGUUUACAGGUCUUGGAAAGUACCACUGCAUAUGUGAAUACAGUUGAAUAAAGCCCACACCUCAUCUCUGCUUGAGGCUAUAGCAGCUUGACGCUACAAUAGCUGCUACUAGGAUAACACACCCAAAUCUCCGACUGAACUGUCGGUGGUCAAGUUGCAUUGUGGGUAAUGUAGACGCCGGGUUUUGACAAGGAAGAAGAAUGGUUGUAAUAAAAAAGAUAUCUCUGGG